rnacentral:sRNA from 1 species
AGCGGGCCGAAGAAUUCGUCCGUCGCAAAGAGCGCCCGGGCGCCAAGGCCUGCGGAAGCGAGGUUGAUUGUCCCGCCCGCAAAGCCGGGCAGGACUUCGCCGGCACGCGUCA